CGUACACUCCUGCGGGAGGCAGCAGUGGGGAAUUUUGGACAAUGGGCGCAAGCCUGAUCCAGCCAUGCCGCGUGCGGGAAGAAGGCCUUCGGGUUGUAAACCGCUUUUGUCAGGGAAGAAAAGGUUCUGGCUAAUACCUGGGACUCAUGACGGUACCUGAAGAAUAAGCACCGGCUAACUACGUGCCAGCAGCCGCGGUAAUACGUAGGGUGCAAGCGUUAAUCGGAAUUACUGGGCGUAAAGCGUGCGCAGGCGGUUAUGCAAGACAGAGGUGAAAUCCCCGGGCUCAACCUGGGAACUGCCUUUGUGACUGCAUGGCUAGAGUACGGUAGAGGGGGAUGGAAUUCCGCGUGUAGCAGUGAAAUGCGUAGAUAUGCGGAGGAACACCGAUGGCGAAGGCAAUCCCCUGGACCUGUACUGACGCUCAUGCACGAAAGCGUGGGGAGCAAACAGGAUUAGAUACCCUGGUAGUCCCAUGAU
rnacentral:rRNA from 1 species